AUCUUUGCGCAGUGGCAGUAUCAUAACCUAUGAGGUUUAUCCGAGGAGCGAUUAAUGCUAAUUGAAAACUUAACCCAAUACCCCACCUUGAUGGCUUGAAAUAUAGUCAGCAAUGGCAAUUUAUGUCAGUCUCAAUGGAGA
rnacentral:snRNA from 1 species